UACGUAGGUGGCAAGCGUUGUCCGGAUUUAUUGGGUUUAAAGGGUGCGUAGGCGGCCCUGUAAGUCAGCGGUGAAAUACGGCAGCUCAACUGUCGAGGUGCCGUUGAUACUGCGGGGCUUGAGUGUUGAUGAGGCAGGCGGAAUUGACGGUGUAGCGGUGAAAUGCUUAGAUAUCGUCAAGAACACCGAUAGCGAAGGCAGCCUGCCAAGCAACAACUGACGCUGAGGCACGAAAGUGCGGGGAUCAAACAGG
rnacentral:rRNA from 1 species